rnacentral:rRNA from 1 species
UACGUAGGCAGCAAGCGUUGUUCGGAGUUACUGGGCGUAAAGGGUGCGUAGGCGGGUCUUUAAGUCAGGGGUGAAAUCCUGGAGCUCAACUCCAGAACUGCCUUUGAUACUGAGGAUCUUGAGUUCGGGAGAGGUGAGUGGAACUGCGAAUGUAGAGGUGAAAUUCGUAGAUAUUCGCAAGAACACCAGUGGCGAAGGCGGCUCACUGGCCCGAUACUGACGCUGAGGCACGAAAGCGUGGGGAGCAAACAGG